AGGGGAGUGCCGGAUCCUGGGCUGUGUCUCCCGGCGCCUUGGGCUCCGGGGCCUGCACCACUGGAAUCGUGCUCCUGGAGCUGUGCAGUCCCCU
rnacentral:pre_miRNA from 1 species